rnacentral:rRNA from 1 species
UACGAAGGGGGCUAGCGUUGCUCGGAAUCACUGGGCGUAAAGGGUGCGUAGGCGGGUUAUUAAGUCAGAGGUGAAAUCCUGGAGCUCAACUCCAGAACUGCCUUUGAUACUGAUAGUCUUGAGUAUGGGAGAGGUGAGUGGAACUGCGAGUGUAGAGGUGAAAUCGUAGAUAUUCGCAAGAACACCAGUGGCGAAGGCGGCUCACUGGCCCAUUACUGACGCUGAGGCACGAAAGCGA